UACGGAGGAUGCGAGCGUUAUCCGGAUUUAUUGGGUGUAAAGGGUGCGUAGAUGGAUAAACAAGUUGGUUGUGAAAUCCCUCGGCUUAACUGAGGAAUUGCAACCAAAACUGUAGAUCUUGAGUACUGGAGGGGAAAGCGGAAUUCCUAGUGUAGCGGUGAAAUGCGUAGAUAUUAGGAAGAACACCGGUGGCGAAGGCGGCUCUCUGGUCUGCAACUGACGCUGAGGCUCGAAAGCAUGGGUAGCGAACAGG
rnacentral:rRNA from 1 species